rnacentral:pre_miRNA from 1 species
GGCCACCCUCUGUGGGGUGAUCGAUUGUGGAGCUCCCCUCCCCCCAUCGAUUGCCCUGCAGAGGGUGGCC